rnacentral:rRNA from 1 species
UCCGUAGGGGGCAAGCGUUGUCCGGAAUUAUUGGGCGUAAAGAGCGUGUAGGCGGUUCGGUAAGUCUGCCGUGAAAACCUGAGGCUCAACCUCGGGCGUGCGGUGGAUACUGCCGGGCUAGAGGACGGUAGAGGCGAGUGGAAUUCCCGGUGUAGCGGUGAAAUGCGCAGAUAUCGGGAGGAACACCAGUAGCGAAGGCGACUUACUGGACUGUAACUGACGCUGAGGCAUGAAAGCGUGGGGAGCAAACAGG